AUUUUGAUCAAGGAAGUUUCCAAUUGGUUCCAUGUAUAAUCUUUACUCUGUUGGUUUUCCCAGGGCAAAGAACUGCACAAAAGAAACAAACCACAGCUCUAGAAACAUAACACCAGUGGAAAAAAAGAAAAAAAACAAAAACCAAACAAAAUCUCACGACAAAAAGUGGCCUAACAAUGCAUACUAGAACUUAAAUAAGAUGUUACCACAUCUCUGCAGCCACCCAUAUCCAGUGUGUAUCCUGGAAAGACAUAUGACUAACCAAAGAGAGGAGAGACCAUGAAAAGAGUCAGUCAUGGAUUUUUAAUUUCAUCUAGGCCCUGUUUGCCAUUAUUCAUUUAUAUGUUCAACAAAAGCUUAGUGGGAGUUAAUAAUCUACGCCAGGAACAAUGGAUGUACUUUUUGUAUGGAAAGGAAUACAAAGACGAAUGCAAAUAAAAAUAAAGAAAACUCCUUGAUUUAUUUCACCAAAGGAUGGGAAAGUAAGGAAGUUAUCUAUCCUUUUUGUUGAAUCUUAUCAUUGGAGGGGAUGGGACAUGUUUUGAACACCUUAUUUUUUUUUAAAGGGAAGUUAUGUUGAUAAGAAUAUAAUAAAGUCUCACAUUUGGCACAUCGUUUCGCUAUGUGCCAAACAAUGUUGCAGGUGUUUUCUUGGACCAGUUCUAAAGUUAUUCCUCGUCACAAAUGAGGAAAUGAUGGCUCAGAGCUAUGAAGUAACAGGCUCAGGGUCGCACACACAGUGAGG
rnacentral:lncRNA from 1 species